rnacentral:rRNA from 1 species
AGAGUUUGAUCCUGGCUCAGGAUGAACGCUAGCUACAGGCUUAACACAUGCAAGUCGAGGGGAAACGACAUCGAAAGCUUGCUUUUGAUGGGCGUCGACCGGCGCACGGGUGAGUAACGCGUAUCCAACCUGCCCAUCACUUGGGGAUAACCUUGCGAAAGUAAGACUAAUACCCAAUGACGUCUCUAGAAGACAUCUGAAAGAGAUUAAAGAUUUAUCGGUGAUGGAUGGGGAUGCGUCUGAUUAGCUUGUUGGCGGGGUAACGCCACAAGGCGACGAUCAGUAGGGGUUCUGAGGGGAAGUCCCCCANAUUGGAACUGAGACACGGUCCAAAUCCUACGGGAGCA